UGGGGAAUAUUGGACAAUGGGCGCAAGCCUGAUCCAGCCAUGCCGCGUGAGUGAUGAAGGCCUUAGGGUUGUAAAGCUCUUUCACCGGAGAAGAUAAUGACGGUAUCCGGAGAAGAAGCCCCGGCUAACUUCGUGACAGCAGCCGCGGUAAUACGAAGGGGGCUAGCGUUGUUCGGAAUUACUGGGCGUAAAGCGCACGUAGGCGGGCAUUUAAGUCAGGGGUGAAAUCCCAGAGCUCAACUCUGGAACUUCCUUUGAUACUGGGUGUCUUGAGUAUGGAAGAGGUGAGUGUAAUUCCGAGUGUAGAGGUGAAAUUCGUAGAUAUUCGGAGGAACACCAGUGGCGAAGGCGGCUCACUGGUCCAUUACUUACGCUGAGGUGCGAAAGCGUGGGGAGCAAACA
rnacentral:rRNA from 1 species